rnacentral:rRNA from 1 species
AUUGAACGCUGGCGGCAAGCCUAAAACAUGCAAGUCGAACGAGUGGCGGACGGGUGAGUAAUGUCUGGGAAACUGCCUGAUGGAGGGGGAUAACUACUGGAAACGGUAGCUAAUACCGCAUACCAUCGGAUGUGCCCAGAUGGGAUUAGCUAGUAGGUGGGGUAAAGGCUCACCUAGGCGACGAUCCCUAGCUGGUCUGCGAGGAUGACCGGCCACACUGGAACGGGGAAACGGCCCAGCCUCCUACGGGAGGAAGCAGUGGGGAAUAUUGCACAAGGGGGGCAAGCCUGAUGCAGCCAGGCCGCGUGGAUGAAGAAGGCCUUCGGGUUGUAAAGUACGUUCAGCGGGGAGGCGGUACCCGCAGAAGAAGCACCGGCUAACUCCGUGCCAGCAGCCGCGGUAAUUC